GUUAGUAGUGGCGAGCGAACGCGGACUAGGCCAGUGGCUUUAUUGUUGUAACCGGAACAUUCUGGAAAGUUUGGCAUUAAUGGGUGAUAGCCCUGUACGGAUACAGCAACGAUAAGGUCCUUGAGUAGGGCGGAACACGUGAAAUUCUGUCUGAACAUGGGGCGACCACGCUCCAAGCCUAAGUACUCCCAUGCGACCGAUAGUGAACCAGUACCGUGAGG
rnacentral:rRNA from 1 species